UGUGCAACUAACAGUCUUUGAAGCUCUGUG
rnacentral:piRNA from 1 species